CGGCAGUCAGACUGCGAAUGAUAAGAUCCGUAGUCAAAAGGGAAACAGCCCAGACCAUCAGCUAAGGUCCCAAAGUGUAAGUUAAGUGGAAAAGGAUGUGGGAUUUCUAAGACAACUAGGAUGUUGGCUUAGAAGCAGCCACUCAUUUAAAGAGUGCGUAAUAGCUCACUAGUCAAGAGAUCCUGCGCCGAAGAUGUCCGGGGCUCAAACUUACCACCGAAGCUAUGGGUGUACACUAUGUGUACGCGGUAGGGGAGCUUUCUGUAUGGGUUGAAGUCGUACCGUAAGGAGUGGUGGACUGUACAGAAGUGAGAAUGCUGGCAUAAGUAGCGAGAAAUAAGUGAGAAUCUUAUUGGCCGAAAACCUAAGGUUUCCUGGGGAAGGCUCGUCCGCCCAGGGUUAGUCGGGAUCUAAGCCGAGGCCGAAAGGCGUAGGUGAUGGACAAUCGGUUGAUAUUCCGAUACCACCUAUUUACGUUUGAGAGAUGGGGUGACGCAGUAGGAUAAGAUGUGCGCACUAUUGGAUGUGCGUCUAAGCAUUUAGGCAUGCUUGAUAGGCAAAUCCGUCAGGCUAAGCUGAGAUGUUAUGGGGAGCCAAAUGUGGCGAAGUAUCUGAUUCCACACUGCCAAGAAAAGCCUCUAUCGAGUAAAUAGGUGCCCGUACCGCAAACCGACACAGGUAGGUGAGGAGAGAAUCC
rnacentral:ncRNA from 1 species